CAGCAGCCACGGUAAAACAGAGGGGGCAAGCGUUGUUCGGAAUUACUGGGCGUAAAGCGCACGUAGGCGGCUUGGUAAGUUAGAGGUGAAAGCCCAGGGCUCAACCCUGGAAUUGCCUUUAAGACUGCCGAGCUAGUAGGUGAGAGAGGUAAGUGGAAUUCCGGGUGCAGAGGUGAAAUUCGUAGAUAUUCGGAAGAACACCAGUGGCGAAGGCGGCUUACUGGCUCAUUCUAGACGCUGAGGUGCGAAAGCGUGGGGAGCAAACAGGAUUAGAGACCCCAGUAGUCCCUGUCUCUUAUAC
rnacentral:rRNA from 1 species